rnacentral:lncRNA from 1 species
UGGCCAUCUAUUCGGCCUCUUCGUUAUGAAUGUAAAAUCUUAAUGUAAGUGGCUGUAAAUUCUUUAUAAUUUCUUUUGUAAGUUUUUACUGAAAUGUGCAGUAUAUGUACUUAUUAAUUGUAGAUCUAGUCUAUAAAAACUUAUUCUGGUCUUCUUUACCGGGCAUAAUGUCUUUGCAAUUGUCAUAUUUGCUACUCUAGUGAAUUUCAAUCACCCUUGUCAUAUUUGCUACUCUAGUGAAUUUCAAUCACCCUUGCU